GAUGAACGCUGGCGGCGUGCCUAAUACAUGCAAGUCGAGCGAACAGACGAGGAGCUUGCUCCUCUGACGUUAGCGGCGGACGGGUGAGUAACACGUGGAUAACCUACCUAUAAGACUGGGAUAACUUCGGGAAACCGGAGCAAAUACCGGAUAAUAUAUUGAACCGCAUGGUUCAAUAGUGAAAGACGGUUUUGCUGUCACUUAUAGAUGGAUCCGCGCCGCAUUAGCUAGUUGGUAAGGUAACGGCUUACCAAGGCAACGAUGCGUAGCCGACCUGAGAGGGUGAUCGGCCACACUGGAACUGAGACACGGUCCAGACUCUUACGGGAGGCAGCAGUAGGGAAUCUUCCGCAAUGGGCGAAAGCCUGACGGAGCAACGCCGCGUGAGUGAUGAAGGUCUUCGGAUCGUAAAACUCUGUUAUUAGGGAAGAACAAAUGUGUAAGUAACUAUGCACGUCUUGACGGUACCUAAUCAGAAAGCCACGGCUAACUACGUG
rnacentral:rRNA from 1 species